rnacentral:rRNA from 1 species
GACGAACGCUGGCGGCGUGCUUAACACAUGCAAGUCGAACGGAAAGGCCCUGCUUUUGUGGGGUGCUCGAGUGGCGAACGGGUGAGUAACACGUGAGUAACCUGCCCUUGACUUUGGGAUAACUUCAGGAAACUGGGGCUAAUACCGGAUAGGAGCUCCUGCUGCAUGGUGGGGGUUGGAUAGUUUCGGCGGUUGGGGAUGGACUCGCGGCUUAUCAGCUUGUUGGUGGGGUAGUGGCUUACCAAGGCUUUGACGGGUAGCCGGCCUGAGAGGGUGACCGGCCACAGUGGGACUGAGAUACGGCCCAGACUCCUACGGGAGGCAGCAGUGGGGAAUAUUGCACAAUGGGCGGAAGCCUGAUGCAGCAACGCCGCGUGCGGGAUGACGGCCUUCGGGUUGUAAACCGCUUUCGCCUGUGACGAAGCGUGAGUGACGGUAAUGGGUAAAGAAGCACCGGCUAACUACGUG